rnacentral:lncRNA from 1 species
AAAAAAUUUUGCGUGGGGUCUCGGGGCCGCUUAAGGCCCCCAGAAGCUCUGAGAAAAAUAACGCAAGAUCGUGCAUUCUGAGUGUUUCCCGGACUCUUUCUUACAUUGAAACACAAUUAAUUUUAAGCUAUUUCUUUUGACAAUAUUCUUGUCUCAAAGCAAAAACUCAUUGUAAUUUAAGACUUUUAGGUUUUACGGGGACAACAUUAAAAGUAGACCGAUAUGUAGAAUAAAGCAAAAACCGAAAUUCUCAUAAUCAUUGUGUCUGUCUGUUCUUGUCUUGUAUUGUGCUUAAUUCAGACUUUGGUGAUUUUUUUAUGGCUAGAUUGAAAUAGAGUGACAGUGCAGUAUUAUAUUUUAAGUACUAGUACUGCUUAAGUCGACACUAAGGACCAUCUUGACCUUGUUUUAUGGUAUUAAUGAUUCUUUUAUUGUUGAAGACCCUCCAUCAACUAUCAAGAUGAAGAAUAGGGAAAAAAAACUUUGGCCAUUGAUCAUUUGUAUUUUUUCUAUGCAUUGACUUCGUGUGAGAUAAGGUCCUGUGCACGUUUACUCCAUAUUCUUUUUUUCUGUUUAAGAGUCUAAACACGACUUCAUGCAAGUUUAAUCCUUCAAUGUAAAAGGUCAUAUGGCAAUACAUUGACUUUUUUUAAAGAUGAUUUGAUACCGGGAAAUUGGUGGUCUUACUUUAAUUUAAACCAUGUCAGCUAUCUAGUUUCAUCUACAAAAAAGAGCCAGUUUUGUAUUCUUUGAUAUCGGGUUCAAUUCUCCAUGCAGAAACGACAAUUUUUUUAUGUCCAGUAGCAUCGUAUAUUCUUAAAAUAGUUUCUCGUACAAUGUCUGGACAUCGGUGGACAUGCAACAUGGCAAAACCACAGUUUACGAAUGAAAAUCAACACUCUGCAGACUAUAGUUAUAAAGUAGGACAAUAAAUGAACAAAAGACAAACCCGGGACACAGAAGUACAAACAACAGACCAUCAACUCUGAAAACUAAAAGUAAAAUAGAAACAUGGAUCUCGAAAAACAUGCACGGGAGACAUCAGAGAGACUUGCAAGACACUUUCCGUGAAAACAAUUCAGGUUGAUACGAGACAAUCCUGUUUCUGUUUUUUUUUUUAUUUUUUUUUUUUUUUUUUGGAAAUUUCCAACAUGAGGCAUUUGCCUCAUUUGCCUCAAUGUAGUUACGGCC